rnacentral:misc_RNA from 1 species
GGUGGAGUAUAAUUUUUUAUUUUAUAAGUGUGGGUUGUAUAUAGUAAUUUUUUUUUAAAGAGUAUAGUAUGGAAAAUGGGGGAAAAGUGUAAUUUUAAAAUGGGGGAAUUUGAUAAAUAUUAUUUUAUUUAGGUAAUUAAGGUUAGUAUUAAUAGUGAUAAGUUAUGUUGAUAGUAUGUGUUUUUGAUAUGAUGUGAUGAGAAUGGUAAUU